UACGUAGGGUGCUAGCGUUGUCCGGAUUUAUUGGGCGUAAAGGGCUCGUAGGCGGCGUGUCGCGUCGGGAGUGAAAGCCCGCUGCUUAACGGCGGGUUGGCUUCCGGUACGGGCAUCGCUGGAGUGCGGCAGGGGAGACUGGAAUUCCGGGUGUAGCGGUGGAAUGCGUAGAGAUCCGGAAGAACACCGGUGGCGAAGGCGGUGAGCUGGGCAGUUGCUGGACACUGAGGCGCGACAGCGUGGGGAGCAACAGG
rnacentral:rRNA from 1 species